AGAGUUUGAUCCUGGCUCAGAUUGAACGCUGGCGGCAGGCCUAACACAUGCAAGUCGAGCGGAAACGAGUUAACUGAACCUUCGGGGAACGUUAACGGCGUCGAGCGGCGGACGGGUGAGUAAUGCCUAGGAAAUUGCCCUGAUGUGGGGGAUAACCAUUGGAAACGAUGGCUAAUACCGCAUGAUGCCUAUGGGCCAAAGAGGGGGACCUUCGGGCCUCUCGCGUCAGGAUAUGCCUAGGUGGGAUUAGCUAGUUGGUGAGGUAAGGGCUCACCAAGGCGACGAUCCCUAGCUGGUCUGAGAGGAUGAUCAGCCACACUGGAACUGAGACACGGUCCAGACUCCUACGGGAGGCAGCAGUGGGGAAUAUUGCACAAUGGGCGCAAGCCUGAUGCAGCCAUGCCGCGUGUGUGAAGAAGGCCUUCGGGUUGUAAAGCACUUUCAGUCGUGAGGAAGGUAGUGUGUUUAAUAGAUGCAUUAUUUGACGUUAGCGACAGAAGAAGCACCGGCUAACUCCGUGCCAGCAGCCGCGGUAAUACGGAGGGUGCGAGCGUUAAUCGGAAUUACUGGGCGUAAAGCGCAUGCAGGUGGUUUGUUAAGUCAGAUGUGAAAGCCCGGGGCUCAACCUCGGAAUAGCAUUUGAAACUGGCAGACUAGAGUACUGUAGAGGGGGGUAGAAUUUCAGGUGUAGCGGUGAAAUGCGUAGAGAUCUGAAGGAAUACCGGUGGCGAAGGCGGCCCCCUGGACAGAUACUGACACUCAGAUGCGAAAGCGUGGGGGAGCAAACAGGAUUAGAUACCCUGGGUAGUCCACGCCGUAAACGAUGUCUACUUGGAGGUUGUGGCCUUGAGCCGUGGCUUUCGGAGCUAACGCGUUAAGUAGACCGCCUGGGGAGUACGGUCGCAAGAUUAAAACUCAAAUGAAUUGACGGGGGCCCGCACAAGCGGUGGAGCAUGUGGUUUAAUUCGAUGCAACGCGAAGAACCUUACCUACUCUUGACAUCCAGAGAACUUUCCAGAGAUGGAUUGGUGCCUUCGGGAACUCUGAGACAGGUGCUGCAUGGCUGUCGUCAGCUCGUGUUGUGAAAUGUUGGGUUAAGUCCCGCAACGAGCGCAACCCUUAUCCUUGUUUGCCAGCGAGUAAUGUCGGGAACUCCAGGGAGACUGCCGGUGAUAAACCGGAGGAAGGUGGGGACGACGUCAAGUCAUCAUGGCCCUUACGAGUAGGGCUACACACGUGCUACAAUGGCGCAUACAGAGGGCGGCCAACUUGCGAAAGUGAGCGAAUCCCAAAAAGUGCGUCGUAGUCCGGAUUGGAGUCUGCAACUCGACUCCAUGAAGUCGGAAUCGCUAGUAAUCGUGGAUCAGAAUGCCACGGUGAAUACGUUCCCGGGCCUUGUACACACCGCCCGUCACACCAUGGGAGUGGGCUGCAAAAGAAGUAGGUAGUUUAACCUUCGGGGGGACGCUUACCCACUUUGUGGUUCAUGACUGGGGUGAAGUCGUAACAAGGUAGCCGUA
rnacentral:rRNA from 1 species